GACGAACGCUGGCGGCGGGCUUAACACAUGCAAGUCGAACGGCAAGGCCCUGCUUUUGUGGGGUUCUCGAGUGGCGAACGGGUGAGUAACAGGUGAGUAACCGGCCCUUGACUUUCGUAUAACUUAAGGUAACUGGGGCUACUCCCGUAUAGGAGCCCACGUUGCAUGGAGGGGGUUGGAAAGUUGCGGCGGUAGGGGAUGGACUCGCGGCUUAUGAGCUUGUUGGUGGGGUAGUGGCUUACCAAGGGUGUGACGGGUAGCCGGCAUGAGAGGGUGAACAGCGACAAUGGGACUGAGGUACGGCCCAGAGGGCUACAGGAGGCAGCAGGGGGGAAUAUUGCACAAUGGGCGGAAGCGUGAUACAGCAACGCCGCGUGCGUGAUGACGGUCUUCGGGGUAAGAACCGCUGUAGCCUGUGACGAAGCGGGAGUGACGGUAAUGGGUAAAGAAGCACCGGCUAACUACGUG
rnacentral:rRNA from 1 species